rnacentral:rRNA from 1 species
UAAGGAAUAUUGGACAAUGGAGGCAACUCUGAUCCAGCCAUGCCGCGUGAAGGAAUAAGGCCCUAUGGGUUGUAAACUUCUUUUAGACGGGACAAAACCCCUUUACGUGUAAAGGGUUGAUGGUACUGUCAGAAUAAGCAUCGGCUAACUUCGUGCCAGCAGCCGCGGUAAUACGAAGGAUGCAAGCGUUAUCCGGAAUUAUUGGGUUUAAAGGGUGCGUAGGCGGACUAAUAAGUAAGUGGUGAAAGCCUGCAGCUUAACUGCAGAAUGGCAAUUGAUACUGUUAGUCUUGAGUACAGUUGAGGUAGGCGGAAUGUGUCAUGUAGCGGGGAAAUGCUUAGAUAUGACACAGAACACCGAUUGCGAAGGCAGCUUGCUAAGCUGUAACUGACGCUGAGGCACGAAA